GUGGUAAUGCCGGAUGCUCCGGUUGGAUGCAUGUCCUUCCGGGAAAGAUUCCAUCGGUAUGGGAUGGGGUCGCGUCCUAUCAGCUUGAUGGCGGGGUAACGGCCCACCAUGGCUUCGACGGGUAGCCGGCCUGAGAGGGCGACCGGCCACAUUGGGACUGAGAUACGGCCCAGACUCCUACGGGAGGCAGCAGUGGGGAAUAUUGCACAAUGGGCGCAAGCCUGAUGCAGCGACGCCGCGUGCGGGAUGGAGGCCUUCGGGUUGUAAACCGCUUUUGAUCGGGAGCAAGCCCUUCGGGGUGAGUGUACCCUUCGAAUAAGCACCGGCUAACUACGUGCCAGCAGCCGCGGUAAUACGUAGGGUGCAAGCGUUAUCCGGAAUUAUUGGGCGUAAAGGGCUCGUAGGCGGUUCGUCGCGUCCGGUGUGAAAGCCCAUCGCUUAACGGUGGGUCUGCGCCGGGUACGGGCGGGCUGGAGUGCGGUAGGGGAGACUGGAAUUCCCGGUGUAACGGUGGAAUGUGUAGAUAU
rnacentral:rRNA from 1 species